rnacentral:rRNA from 1 species
UGAGUAACCUGCCCUUAACUCUGGGACAAGCCUGGGAAACUGGGUCUAAUACCGGAUAUGACUCCUCAUCGCAUGGUGGGGGGUGGAAAGCUUUAUUGUGGUUUUGGAUGGACUCGCGGCCUAUCAGCUUGUUGGUGAGGUAAUGGCUCACCAAGGCGACGACGGGUAGCCGGCCUGAGAGGGUGACCGGCCACACUGGGACUGAGACACGGCCCAGACUCCUACGGGAGCAG